rnacentral:rRNA from 1 species
UACGAAGGGGGCUAGCGUUGCUCGGAAUUACUGGGCGUAAAGCGCACGUAGGCGGCUUCUUAAGUCGGUGGUGAAAUCCUGGAGCUCAACUCCAGAACUGCCUUCGAUACUGAGAAGCUCGAGUCCGGGAGAGGUGAGUGGAACUGCGAGUGUAGAGGUGAAAUUCGUAGAUAUUCGCAAGAACACCAGUGGCGAAGGCGGCUCACUGGCCCGGUACUGACGCUGAGGUGCGAAAGCGUGGAGAGCAAACAGG